ACGGGUGAGUAAUGUCUGGGAAACUGCCCGAUGGAGGGGGAUAACUACUGGAAACGGUAGCUAAUACCGCAUAACGUCUUCGGACCAAAGUGGGGGACCUUCGGGCCUCACACCAUCGGAUGUGCCCAGAUGGGAUUAGCUAGUAGGUGGGGUAACGGCUCACCUAGGCGACGAUCCCUAGCUGGUCUGAGAGGAUGACCAGCCACACUGGAACUGAGACACGGUCCAGACUCCUACGGGAGGCAGCAGUGGGGAAUAUUGCACAAUGGGCGCAAGCCCGAUGCAGCCAUGCCGCGUGUAUGAAGAAGGCCUUCGGGUUGUAAAGUACUUUCAGUGGGGAGGAAGGCGAUGGAGUUAAUAGCUUCGUCGAUUGACGUUACCCGCAGAAGAAGCACCGGCUAACUCCGUGCCAGCAGCCGCGGUAAUACGGAGGGUGCAAGCGUUAAUCGGAAUUACUGGGCGUAAAGCGCACGCAGGCGGUCUGUCAAGUCGGAUGUGAAAUCCCCGGGCUCAACCUGGGAACUGCAUUCGAAACUGGCAGGCUAGAGUCUUGUAGAGGGGGGUAGAAUUCCAGGUGUAGCG
rnacentral:rRNA from 1 species